rnacentral:rRNA from 1 species
UACAGAGGUCCCAAGCGUUGUUCGGAUUCACUGGGCGUAAAGGGUGCGUAGGUGGCAGGGUAAGUUUGAUGUGAAAUCUCCGGGCUUAACCCGGAAACUGCAUUGAAUACUAUCCUGCUCGAGGUUUGGAGGGGGGACUGGAAUUCUCGGUGUAGCAGUGAAAUGCGUAGAUAUCGAGAGGAACACCAGUGGCGAAGGCGAGUCCCUGGACAACACCUGACACUGAGGCACGAAAGCCAGGGGAGCAAACGGG